rnacentral:rRNA from 1 species
CGUGUAGGCGGAGAUGCAAGUUGGGAGUGAAAUCCCGGGGCUCAACCCCGGAACUGCUUUCAAAACUGUAUCCCUUGAGUAUCGGAGAGGCAAGCGGAAUUCCUAGUGUAGCGGUGAAACUGCGUAGAUAUUAGGAGGAACACCAGUGGCGAAGGCGGCUUGCUGGACGACAACUGACGCUGAGGCGCGAAAGCGUGGGGAGCAAACA